GCCACAUCACGUUGAAAUACCGGUUCCCGUAUGAUCACUGGUUAAGCAACAUCGAGCCUGAUCAGUAUCUAGAUGGGUGACUACUUGGGGAUACCGGGUGCUGUAAG